CACGUAGGGCGCAAGCGUUGUCCGGAAUUAUUGGGCGUAAAGAGCUCGUAGGCGGUCUGUUACGUCUGCUGUGAAAACCCAGGGCUUAACCCUGGGCUUGCAGUGGAUACGGGCAGACUAGAGGCAGGUAGGGGAGAAUGGAAUUCCCGGUGUAGCGGUGGAAUGCGUAGAGAUCGGGAAGAACAUCAGUGGCGAAGGCGGCCUGCUGGGCUGUUGCUGACGCUGAGGCGCGACAGCGUGGGGAGCAAACAGG
rnacentral:rRNA from 1 species